AUUGAACGCUGGCGGCAUGCUUUACACAUGCAAGUCGAACGGUAACAGGGUGCUUGCACCGCUGACGAGUGGCGAACGGGUGAGUAAUGCGUCGGAACGUGCCGAGUAGUGGGGGAUAACGCAGCGAAAGUUGUGCUAAUACCGCAUACGUACUGAGGUAGAAAGUGGGGGACCUUCGGGCCUCACGCUAUUCGAGCGGCCGCCGUCUGAUUAGCUAGUAGGUGAGGUAAGGGCUCACCUAGGCGACGAUCAGUAGCGGGUCUGAGAGGAUGAUCCGCCACACUGGGACUGAGACACGGCCCAGACUCCUACGGGAGGCAGCAGUGGGGAAUUUUGGACAAUGGGCGAAAGCCUGAUCCAGCCAUGCCGCGUGUCUGAAGAAGGCCUUCGGGUUGUAAAGGACUUUUGUCGGGGAGGAAAUCCCCAGCGUUAAUACCGCUGGGGGAUGACAGUACCUGAAGAAUAAGCACCGGCUAACUACGUGCCAGCAGCCGCCGUAAGAC
rnacentral:rRNA from 1 species